AUGCAGGACUGUUAAGUAUUUAACAGUCUUAUUAGGGGUAGGUAGCGGCUAAUGGCAUCCAAACAGUCUUGAAAACUG
rnacentral:tRNA from 1 species